GGUACAUCGGUGACAGGUGGUGCAUGGUUGUCGUCAGCUCGUGUCGUGAGAUGUUGGGUUAAGUCCCGCAGCGAGCGCAACCCCUAUUGUUAGUUGCCAUCAUUCAUUGGGCACUCUAGCGAGACUGCCGGUAAUAAACCGGAGGAAGUGGGAUGACGUCAAAUCAUCAUGCCCCUUAUGACCUGGGCUACACACGUGCUACAAUGGUUGGUACAACGAGUUGCGAGUCGGUGACGGCGAGCUAAUCUCUUAAAGCCAAUCUCAGUUCGGAUUGUAGGCUGCAACUCGCCUACAUGAAGUCGGAAUCGCUAGUAAUCGCGGAUCAGCACGCCGCGGUCGAAUACGUUCCCGGGCCUU
rnacentral:rRNA from 1 species